rnacentral:rRNA from 1 species
GUGGGGAAUCUUCCACAAUGGACGAAAGUCUGAUGGAGCAACGCCGCGUGAGUGAAGAAGGGUUUCGGCUCGUAAAGCUCUGUUGUCGGGGACGAAUGUGCAGUAUUUGAAUAAAGUACUGUAAUGACGGUACCUGACGAGGAAGCCACGGCCAACUACGUGCCAGCAGCCGCGGUAAUACGUAGGUGGCAAGCGUUGUCCGGAAUUAUUGGGCGUAAAGGGAGCGCAGGCGGGAAGGUAAGUCGGUCUUAAAAGUGCGGGGCUCAACCCCGUGAUGGGAUCGAAACUAUCUUUCUUGAGUGCAGGAGAGGAAAGUGGAAUUCCUAGUGUAGCGGUGAAAUGCGUAGAUAUUAGGAGGAACACCAGUGGCGAAGGCGACUUUCUGGACUGUAACUGACGCUGAGGCUCGAAAGCCAGGGGAGCGAACGGGAUUAGAUACCCUGGUAGUCC